AGAACGAACGCUGGCGGCAUGCCUAACACAUGCAAGUCGAACGCCUGUAGCAAUACAGGAGUGGCGCACGGGUGAGUAACGCGUGGGAACCUACCCUGGAGUGGGGGAUAACCGAGGGAAACUUCGGCUAAUACCUCAUACGACCUGAGGGUGAAAGAUUUAUCGCUCUAGGAGGGGCCCGCGUCGGAUUAGUUAGUUGGCGGGGUAAUGGCCCACCAAGACUGUGAUCGGUAUCC
rnacentral:rRNA from 1 species